AGAGUGUCCAUUUAAUCAAUGUUUAAUUGCGCACAUCGGAAACAUUUCAAAUGUACUAUUAUACCUGAAUGCACCACUUGGUUCACGUACCCCACUUGGAGCGAGGGGUCUAGCCCAACAGCCAAUCAGGAGCUACGUAGGUUACGUUCAGCUUGUCAGUGAGCAGGUGAAGCGCUGACGCGCUGUUUGUUUGAUCCUCUCCAAAAUCAGCAGCGGGACGGAAGUCAAGUGCUCGCUAAAACGAAGGGAAAAGGAGAAAAACUGUGAGUACAGGGUGAAAGGAGACAAACUAGUUCACUUACCUGCUGAGAGUCCGGAGCUGAGUGACUGAAUGAAGGAGAUGAGUUACGUGGGUCUUGUUUCUGAGAGGAUGAGAAAGUUUGACGACCAGGACUAAAUCCACAUCAUAUUUGAUGGUGAGCCUUUAACCUUGAAGGAAAAGACAGACAUGGACAUACAGGGAAAACAAUGGCAGCCCUGGACGUCUUGAUGACCCAGAGCAAAACCAGACAGCUGAGCUGAAUGAUGGUGAAGAGGUGAACCUUCCUCAGAGGAACAUGGCGCAGAUAGAUGAAAUCAGGCUGA